GCGAGUGUACCGAGCGACCAACACUACCACCACCACCCACACCUCCGGAAUGGAGAGCGUUACGACGCGACGGAAUUAGCACAGGCACAAUAAGCGAUCCCGCCUUCGCUCGGAAAAAUAGAUUUGGCAAACUACCAAAGCUCGGCUUUGAAUAGAUCCGAAAUAUAUGGAUCAUCGUGGUCUUUUGCGUUCCUUCUCGAGCCGUGCCGCGAAGGCGACUCGAGUGAAAGCGACCUUUCCCUCCCUUCUCCUCACUUCCCGCCGAUUUAAAAGCGCAACUUUUGGAAAUUUUCAGGAAACUUAGUAUCAGUAAACGAUCGAUCUUCCCCAUCUUCCCUUUACCCCUCGACUCGUCGUUGCGGCGAAGCAACCACCGCGUUAUCAACCGCAUGUGCUGUCCUCCCCCCCUUCCUAGAAGACCGUUGAGAAAUGUCGUUGGUAUAAAAGACGGAAGGCAAAAAUAAAUGGAGAGGCCGAUGAAAAUAAACCGGAGAGAGAGAGACGAUUUUACGCAUGUGUGCUUCUCGUCCGUGUUUUGCUUCGCUCGCGAAUUCGGAUUCGGCGGGGCAGGGAGUUUCGAUCGAACGCGAUCGAUUUCGACGGCGGCGAAGUCGACCUCGUUCCAGUGCGGGGAGAUCGAAAUCGGGCGAGGAAACGUUGACCGGCUUAUUUCACCCUUGUUCGGGGGCGAAAAAGGCUGAGACGUGCACGGAUAGUGUUUGAACGGAGCGCGGUUAAUUGAUCGUUCGAAACGGGCGUCAAAUCGACGCGAGGCGCGCGCGCGCGAAAAAACAAAGCGCGCCGAUCGAUCGAGGAAACGCGGCGGCGGCCGAUAUCGUUUGGAAGCGCGAGGGCCGUCAAUGUGUAUAUAUAUAUAUAUAUAUAUAUAUAUAAAAAUAACCGUGUUCGAUACGCUCGCCCGAUAACGGAAAUCGUGUUACCGCUAUUUCGGCAUCUAUCGAUCUCUUGGUAUCGCAGCGGAUCGAUGGACGUUGGUGCGUUGGUGUAUUAUUAGACACGAGACGAUUAUCCCCCUCCCCUCCUUUCCUUUAUCGAUACCACGCGAGAACGCGAAUUGAAUGGGAGAAAAGAAGUCGAGGUUUGGUUUCGAAUCGAAAAAAAAAAAAAAAAAAAAACGAUUCCAUUCGAUCGGUUGGACGACAAUUUCCGGUCGUCGUGGACGACGAGCGUACGCGAGACAGGGUGUACGCAGAUCCGAUUCGAUACGAUACGUAAGCUCGCCAAUAUGCGCGCAUGCAUAAUGCCAAGCAUAACCGAGUAGUUUAUUUAUAACGUCGCGGAAAUACACUCGACGCCUUUAUUGUAAAAGGUUGUGUAACGCCGUUUGCGGCGUUACGUAACCGCGAGAGAAGCUACCACGUUCAGGAAAGAAGGAAGGGAAAAAAAAGCGACAACAAUCGCGUAUCAUCGCGUUGGAUGGCCGUUGGAAACGCCGAUUGGAAGGGGGAAGGGGGGAGGGGGGCGGCUUCUUAGCGUUUCGACCUAUGCGAUUGGUCGCAUUCGACAAAAGAAGUGAACGAUUUACAACGAUUUACAACGCGAUUUGACGCGAAUCGAGAUGGAAUUCGAGAUCGGGAAUCGUGAAGCGAGUCCGUUAUUCGACUGUCGAUCGCAUCCGAUCGUCCAUUCGAGGAAGAAAUCAACGAUGGCGAUAAUCGGUAGGAUUAACCGAAUUCUGUGGGCAAAGUUUCGCGACAGAUAUAGCGGGGAGAGCCGAUCGCAUGUCCGCCCCGAUAGGAAAGGAAUGAAACGAUUAUUCGGAUUAAUGGCGGGAGCGAUUGGAAGCUGCUGCGGGGCAAUUCUUUAUUUUCUCAAUGAAUCGUCGUCCGUGAAUGCGCUCGAUUUGGAAAUUCGGGUACCGAGGUACCCUUGGUCGUUCAACGGUGUAUUUAAAGCGUUCGAUCACGCGGCGCUGAGAAGAGGAUGGCAGGUUUAUCGAACCGUGUGUCGCACGUGUCACAGUCUACAAUACAUUCGUUUUCUCGAUUUGAUCAACGUAACGCACAGCUUGGAAGAGGUUAAACAGAUUGCUUCCGAGUUUGAGGUGGAGGAUGGUCCCGACAAUGAAGGGAAUUAUUUCAUGAGACCGGGAAAAUUAUCCGAUUACAUCCCGUCUCCGUAUGCGAACGAGGAAGCGGCGAAAGCGGCCAACUUUGGCGCUUAUCCACCGGAUUUGACUUACAUGAUUUUAGCGCAGAGGGAUGGAGUGGAUUACGUGUUUUCGCUGUUAACGGGAUGGAUGGAACCGCCGGCAGGGCUCGAGAGCGGGCAGAAUCAAUACUUUAACGCAUAUUUUCCCGGUGGACGUACCACGAUGCCGCAAAUGUUGUUCGAGGGAGCGGUCGACUAUGACGACGAUACGCCGGCAACCGCAUCGCAAAUGGCCAAGGACGUGGUAGAAUUUCUAAUGUGGACGGCAUCCUCGGAACACGACACGCGAAAGAUCAUGACGUUGAAAUGCAUAGGAAUCUUUUUGAUUCUAAUGGUGAGCACUUUUUACAUGUACAGACGAACUUGGUCCCACGUAAGAAGCCGUCGCAUAGCUUACGUGCCGAAUUCCAUAACUCGGGAGCCACAGUUCCCCGCCCCUGUGUCUUCCGGCUCCGAUCGAGCAAACAAGAAAAGCGGAAUAUUCCCGAUUCGAUAGAUAAUCGACGACACGUAUCGGUCGCAAUUUUUAUUCUAAUAGAAAAACCUCGGCGAGAAGGUUCGAUGCUCGAAAAUGGGAACAUUGCGGAUAAUUACGGAUAGAAUCGAGAAGGAAAAUAUUCGUUCGAAUCGAGAGAGGGGAGGGGGAAGGGAGAUCGAAUUGAAUCGAUUCAAUUCGAUUCGAUUCGAUUCGAUUCGAUUCGAUUCGAUUGGGUUGGGUUGGUAGCGCGGGCGCAACAUGUGCCACCGAUAAUCGUUUCGCAACGAGCGGCCUUGACGAUGCCCGUAUGCUCGAUCGGGCCGUCUAAAAAUAGAAAGCUCGAGAAACCGUGCAACAAACGUUAUGCCGUCUCUCUCUCUCUUUCUAUCUCUUUCUAUCUCUCUCCCUUCCCUUCCCUCCCUUUCGCACUCUCUCUCUCUCUCUCUCCACUCCUCCCUCUCUCCCACACACGUACUCGCUCACUCUCUCUCUCUUUUUCUCUCACGGAUCGCGAUCAAUCGUAGGCUUCGUCGUUCGAAACGGGAAAUAACUUCACUGAUUGAUCGUGGAUCACGGAUUACGUAUGACGGAUAAGAACGGUCGGUGAUCUAUGAUCUAUUUCGGAUCGAAAGAUCCCCGCUGCGUUUCGAGAUUUAUUUUUGCUUCUUCCUUCCCUCUGACCACGCCAUUUAUAUCGUCGCAUUUUUUUUUUAAUCCACGCGCAUUGCCAUUAAGAAAAUUGGUUCGCGCCAAUUAAAAUAAAACCAAUUCCUUUGAAAUUCUAAUUUUCCGUUUUGCUCCCUUUUCUUCUCCCUCCUCCACUACAUCUUGUGCUCCUUUGUCUCCCUCCCUCCUCUCCUCUAAUCGCGUUGCGUCUUUCCGUUUCGUUUCGUCUGGUCCGGUCUAAUCGCGUCACAUCGUGUCGCAUCGAUGAUCUAUGCGCCCGUACGACUCGUCUCGACGCUCAAUGGCAACAAGUGCGAUCGCGGAAGAGAAGGGGUGGCACGAAUCGAAAAUAUAUACGAAACGAUGAAUGAACCUCCGCGUUGACGUUGAGAGCGCGCCAGCGAUUUCGCGAUCAACCGUGAGAAGCGAACCGCGGCCGUGAUCGACCAUCGUUCCAAAUACAAUUUCUAUAUAUUUCGCGAACUUGUUCCACGAUUGUAUCGCGACCGAUUCCCAAUAUUGACGGGUCGAGGAAAGAUUAUUAACCGUCACGGAUCUUCGCCAUGGUCAGGAUAGUUUACUACAACAGCAUCGUCACCGUGCUUGUGCGUCUUCUAUUCGCGAAUAUUGUUCGAGUACGCGUCACGGUGACUUUGCGAACCGUUGGUUCCCACGCGGUUAGAAUAGCGUCAACCGCAAGCAUGGGUCGGCGUUGACGAUGACCUCGACGACGGUUCGCUUCCUUUGCGUGUAAAUCGCGAUUCGCAAAUUACGAUACGUCAUCCGAAAUUUAUUGAUCGUUGUUCUCCGUGACACUCCGAGCGUAAGGUAUAAAAGCGGAGGAUAUAUUUUAAACGAUUAAAACUUACCUUUCGUUGCGAUGGCGCUUGCUCGCGCUUGCUCGCUGGACAUUCUGUUUCCUCCAACAUUCACCGAACCCUGCAUUUACCGUCAACGCUGCAACGUUGUAACUUUCUUCUCUUUUGGUCGCAUGCGUUUCCUGUAACGCGAACAAGCAAUAUUUUUCUACAACUGCGGCACAAUUUACGACAGUGUGCGCGAGCGCGAAGUUAAAAAUUCUAAACGCGAAAAUUGAUGCCGUUGACACGUGACGACGCGUCGAGUGACCCUUUGCGAUUCCUUUUGCACUCUAAACAAUCUUUAUCAAUGGGAGAUUUCAAUAUAUUUCUUUUUACGUAUUAUGCGUCAGUUGUCACGUGUACAAUUUCAUUUGACGCGAAUUCGGCUAUACGAUCGAUCGUAGAACAUAACAGAAUCCUUUCCUUCCGUCCAUGUGUACGAAUCGAUCUCUCGAACGGCUAUCGCGUUCAACACGUGCUCGAUUUCCAUCGUGUAUUGUACCCGCGAUCGAUAUCAUCAUUGUCGCGAUAGUUUCGCCUCGUUCGAAAUCAAUCACACAGCCGAGAAAUUUUUCCAUUCGUCGGAUAAACGAUAAGAAAAAAAUAUAGGAAAAUGUCCCCACAUAAUUGACAAUCCGAUUUGUUUGAGAAACGAACAAUUGUUAAAUAAAUAGCGAAUGACGAAAUGUACAAAGCACACAUCGAUCGAGUUAUACUCGCGAAUGCGCGUGCCCUCGCGCGCACGCACAUGAUGAUUACACACACGUCAAAUUCGAUACAAAUCGGAUUUCGAUCAGAAACCGAAACGAAACUUUCGAUUACGGAAAAUAUACGUUGGAACGUUUUUUUUUCUCUCUGAAUCCACAAAUAUCACAUGUAAUGGAAACAUUGUUCAUUUUACGAAUCCGCCUGAUGAAGUCAUUUACGUGAAAAUAAACAAUGAAAAAUCAACGUGAGUUUUUAAGUUUCAAAAGGGAUGAAAUUUUCAAAGAAAAUGAGAAAAUAAAGGAGCCGUAUGUUAUUUAGAUUUAGAAAUCAAACUCUGUUUAGGAACGGCAUGCUGUUCAAUCGCGAUUACGAUGAGAGUUGUAUUAGUGGUGGUGUUGGUAUUUGUAGCUCGUGAACAAGUCCGUGUCAGUGUCCGUGACGGUGUUGAUGAUGAUGACGAUGAUGGUGGUGGAGGUGGACGCGGCAGCAUUGGUGCUAGUGGUUGUGAUGGUGGCGAUGGUGGUGGUGGUGGUGGUAAUGAGUAGUGGUGGUACUACUACUGGUAGCUGUGGUGAUGAUGGUGGCUGUGGUGACUAAAGAGUGGCGGUAGCGGUAGUGGUAGCGGUAACAGAUCGAAAGUCACAAAAACAGUCACUCGCUUCCAUCGUUAGAAUCGCGUUCCAUUUCCCAAAAUGGAAUAUUCAAUUUUAAGAUGCACUCAAUCGACUGACCGAGAUCGAAGUAAUAUGCUUGUAAAACUGUUCUCGCGUAGAAAUCCAUUUCAAUUUGUAAACCAUGUAUAUAUACACACAUUUUAAUCGUUCGACACGUGGCAAAAAUGCGACGCGUAGAUUCGUAUUGAGAAUGUUGUACGUACGAGUUGCAUGUAUAUGACAACGUAAGGAAGAAAAAGAAGGAAGUAAAUGUAUGUUUUUGUGUGUGCAAACGCACGCGCGCUCGCUUGCAUUCGUGCGUGCGUGCGUGCAUGCGUGUGUGUGAUAUGAAGACAAGAACAGAAUAGAUGGAAAAGAAUGGUGUUGAGGGAGAAAUAAAGAAUGAGUGUGUGUGUAUAUAUGUGUAUGUAUGAGAAAGAGAGAGAGAGAGAGGACGAGAAGAAAGAGAAGAGAGAAAGAAGAGAUAUAUAUAUAUAUAUAUAUAUAUAUACACACAUAUAUAUAUAUAUAAGAUGGAAGAAAGUUAGAGGAAGGAAAUAGAGAUAACGGAAAGAGAGGGAAAGAGAAAAAGAAGCAAUACGCAAUGGACGAGUAGCAAACGGGAGAACUAGCAAUGGUCGGUACCGCGUAAAUUCACCAACACCAAGAGACUUACUGGUAACGCUGCCACACCUUUGCGUAGCGCGAACGUAACCGACGUCUUGCAAUGGUACUCGGUGUAAUUUCUCUUUUACCACAAACACUCGGAAAACAACGAACGCGUAGAAGACAGUUACGUUGAUCGCUCGCGAGACACUCGCGAUACGCCUUACACAGAGCGUAUAUGCAUGGCAUGUACACAUACGAGAAACAUAAAAACAAUGCGAUCGCCCUGCUACCUCGACGUGGUUUGUUCAACUAUAACGGCUCGCCCGAUUAUUGCCAGAUGCACUUCGUUACCUUGGUAGCACGCAUGCGUUUCGAGACAACACACGAGGAACGCGUAAAUUGGAUUCUGCGGAACGAUGCCUAGCUUUUACAUCGAACCUGUGUAUCCACAGCGACACCAUUCGUAGCGAACAAACUAUCGAUGAAACUUUCCGCGAUUAAUACCUCUCAACUUUUCAUCGUUACCCACGAUUUCACGAUUUCGUAUAGCUAUGCGAGUUAAUUGUACAAACUAUCUCUAACCUACAAUUUAGCGGAUCGUUGCAGGCUUGCCAACUACCACUGCGACUGCUGUAUCUUACUUAGACGACCUCGGACGACAAGGAUUACACGAUGACGUUGCAGGUGUUCUUUCCUUUAUUCUCCUUCUAUUCUUCUCUUUCCUACUCUUCGUCUUAUAGCAUUUCACUGGAACGCUUGCGCCGUAUUCGAUUACCACGGUGCUAACAUCUAACGGACGAUGUUGAAAACAAUAUGUUUUCGUGUACCACUAACGUAUAACCAAAAAGUAUACGUCAGUUAAAUCGUAACAUUUCAUUGGCAUCGGUAAAAUUAAUUAUUCAAGAGAAAGUUUUGGAUUUUUUCAAGUACAAGGAUUGUAAAGUGUACUUUUAAAAUGAUCGCUGACAAAUAAUAAUAACCACGAAUGAUCAUCAAUCGACUAAAGUCAACUUUUAAAUCGGAGCUUUCGUUUGUAGAUGUCUUGUUUCAUUUUUCAAAUUGAUAUAUAACCUCUCGAAUUACAUUGUGAUAUUCCGCGUCGCAUUUGUUUGAAAAAAAAUGUCUUGGUUAUUCGGGCGAAAGAAACAGCACAAAGAUUCGCCGUCUGAUUCGACGGAAGAGGAACAAGUAUCGAAUCAAAGCGACGAUUAUGAAUUCGUUCCGAAUUGGACCUCGUCACAAGGGAAUAGAAGUCACGACACCACGUCUACGUAUCCUAGUGGUAACUUGUAUCCUUCGUACAUACCUCCUGUUCCAGAAUUCGGACAAGUUGUACCAACCGAUUCGUCCAAAGAUUUUAACCAAGGAGAGAGUACGCAUUAUUUGAACGGGGUUCCAUUCAAAUUGUGCAAAUAUUUGGAGAUUAACGCGAGCAAUGAUUUCGAGAUAGACCAACUUAGAAUUAGCGAAAUUUUAUCUUUCAUAGAGACAAUAAGGAAUCAAAAUUAUGAUUAUAAUUUCGCUUUGGAGGAAAGCAUCGUGGCAGAAAUGAAUAGUAGAAAUAACGAAUAAUUUCCUCUCGGCAUAUCAGAUGUCUUCAGAGAUCACGUAACAUUCGCGUCGAAUCAAAAUUCUUGGGUGUUUUGGCCAACACGUGCAAUAUAAUUCUUGCGUAAGUGUAUCGUUAAAAAUACACUGGCGUGAACACUUUCGUUUUCUUCAUGCUCGUAUACAUAUCGGCCAUGUCGCGGUUAAUAUGAAAAAUCCAAUCUUAUAUUUUUGCCGAUUUUCAUCAUUUUAUGUUUGACGAGAGAAGAAAAGAAGAUAAAAAUGAGAAAAAAUGAGAUAAUAAUAUAAACUGCAAUGGCUUAAUAACACUCAAUGACAUGCGAGCACAAAUUUAUUGUUCAAAGAUGAGACGUUCACGAUUCGAUGCGUUUCCACUGUAAGAUAAAUCACUUAUCCAAUAAGUUUAAAUAUACUCUAUAUUAUAGAUAAUGAAAUUAUACAUUUGUAACACACGUAUAAUUUUUAAAUAUCGAUGUAUAUAUCUUUUAAUAAAACAAUAAGCAUUAUUA